rnacentral:lncRNA from 1 species
GGCAAAAUCACAGAAUCAGAAAAUUACAAGUGGAAAGGAUUCCUUGAGGUGUAAGUGCCUCCCACAGUGUCACAUGGAUGUCAAUCAGGAUGGUGAAGAAGGCCCUUGAAUCCAUUCAGAUGAAGAUUAAUUGAAGGACAUGGAAAAGUUCAGGCUAGAAAAGACUAUACUGAAGUGGUAUGUGAUCAUUGUCUUCAACUGUUGCCUGGAGAAGGAGAAGGUAGGAGGAGAAGAGAAAAGAAAAACCCCAGAAUUGGAAGCGUGGAGGCUGUGCAGUGAGCAGGAAGUUGAAACUCAUCCAGCUGUCACAUAACAACAAAAGAAAAAUGUUUUAUGUAUUCAAUCAUCAUUAAAUGUGCUGUAUGUCUAUUUCCCA